rnacentral:rRNA from 1 species
UUAAAAAGCUCGUAGUUGGAUUUCUGUUGAGGGCAGCCGGUCCGUACUAUGUACGUGUAUCUGGUUUGGCCUUGGCAUCCUCUUGGAGAACGUAACUGCGCUUCAUUGCGUGGUGCGGAAUUCAAGACUUUUACUUUGAGGAAAUUAGAGUGUUCACGGCAGGCAAGCGCCUUGAAUAUAUUAGCAUGGAAUAAUAAUAUAGGACUCUUGUUCUAUUUUGUUGGUUUCUAGAGCGAGAGUAAUGAUUAAUAGGGAUAAUUGGGGGCAUUUGUAUUAACGCGUCAGAGGA